rnacentral:rRNA from 1 species
UACGUAGGGUGCAAGCGUUAAUCGGAAUUACUGGGCGUAAAGCGUGCGCAGGCGGUGAUGUAAGACAGAUGUGAAAUCCCCGGGCUCAACCUGGGAACUGCAUUUGUGACUGCAUCGCUGGAGUACGGCAGAGGGGGAUGGAAUUCCGCGUGUAGCAGUGAAAUGCGUAGGUAUGCGGAGGAACACCGAUGGCGAAGGCAAUCCCCUGGGCCUGUACUGACGCUCAUGCACGAAAGCGUGGGGAGCAAACAGG